rfam:Echinostoma caproni strain Egypt genome assembly, scaffold: ECPE_scaffold0000488
GGCCUCGUAGCUCAGCUGGUAGGGCAUACGCGUACAACGCGUAGGCGGCGUCCAUGCGUGGGUUCGAAUCCCAUCGAGGCUA